GUCCUCAAGGAGGGAAAGACGCAUGCAUUUGAGCAAGGGGUGAGAUGCGAACCGUGUCGAGGAGAUUGGUGGGUGUGUGUGUGCCUGUGUGAUCGCUGUGGCGACUGUACAUUGUAGCAGAGACCUCACUGCCGCGUGUGGCAGCGAUAUUGAUAAGGAACACUGGAUUGCCACUCUACAAAGGGCUGUCCAACAGAGGGCAGUGUGAGAUUUGACCAAUCCCACACUCCUCCGGUCCCCUCAGGUCCUCGCUGUGUGUCUGCAGUCAGAAUCACCCCUCUGACAAGCAUGAAAGGCUCUCCUGAUCUGAUUCCGUCUGCAGAGCUGGACCCUACAAGGGUGUGUAAAGGGAAGGGGGUCGUGACUCUGAGGGCCACUCUGGUCCACAUAGACGACGAGGACUGCGUCAGUGAAGAAUCAAAUGUUGACACAGCGCCAAGUGGUUGGAUCGGCCAGAUCAAUGGAGACAGCGCUCAAACGGGAUUUGCUGAUGGAUGCUUCCACGACAUCACAGCUGAUUUACCUACAGUCAACAGAACUCAAGCCCAGGGAAGUUCACCUGUGAACACAGAAGAACCCCAGCUUCCUGCCUCUUUUGACAUUCAGAACUAUAUUUCGUCGACAAAGGCCACCUCUGCCUACCCAUCCGCCGCUGGCACUGUCAACCCAACCGUAGUUCUGCUACAACACAACAGAGACCCCACCCCAGAGAGGGACAAAUCGCCUGAUCCAGGACCUGUAGUUGGAACAGAGCGAGAACUGAGCCAACACCCAGAUAUGGACGGCAAGAGGAUGAGGUACUCUCAAUCCCAUAUCUUGGGCCCACUGAACCAGCCCAUCGUGCCAGUACGGAACACAGAUAAGUCAAAGGACUGGUACAAGAACAUGUUUAAACAGAUACACAGAAUUCCAGAACCUGUUGAGGAAAACCCAUAUCGCCCCACCUACAUAUUCCCUGAAUCCUAUGAUCCUAGGCAGAUGAAAACAACAGAUGAUGGUCACUCCCCCUAUGGUUAUGUGGAAGAAGUGAAAGCGGUCCCACGAUCAAAAAGUGCCUCUGAAGUUGACCGUAGGUCGUCUAUGCCUGUGCCAACACGGUCCUCUUCCCUCAAACCUGCCAAAAGGAACGACUGGGAGCCCCCUGACAAAAAGGUAGACACCAGGAAGUACCGUGCCGAGCCCAAGAGCAUCUUCGAGUACGAGCCGGGAAAAUCGUCGGUGAUGAAACUGGAGAGAAAGACUCAGCACACUAGUCCAGAAGAUGUAGAUUUAGAGAAUGAGCCUUGGUAUAGAUUCUUUUCAGAGAUGGAUUUUGAUAAAGCGAGUGCCCCCUCUUUCAGCCCUCUGGAAACACCCUCCGACCUACAGAAGUACUCCGGGUGUAAGGCCGGACACAGCGAGGUGGAGAAGGACGAAGGCUCGUCUGGCAGCGAGCCAGCGGCUCCAGAAUGCGACCGCUAUGUUUACAAGAGCAUCCUGGAGGGCGGUGAUAUUCCCCUGCAAGGUCUGCGGGCCCUCAACAAGCGCCAUGCCAGCACCUCCUCUAAAGUGGAUUAUCAAGGUGGGAAUGGCUAUAUCAUUUCCCCCUGCUCUUCUGUAAAUAGUCGAUCAGUUCUUGCCAGUAAUGCCCUAGGUUACCAGUGUAAGAAUAAGAAGCCCUUAUCUGCCGCCAAAGGCUGCAUACCCCAAAUCCUCCCCUCUAAGUUCAAACCUAAGCUGAUGGCCCCUGGUGGUGACAGCCAGGACAGGAGGACUGUGCCUGCCAAGCACCCAAAGGCACACAGCUGUGAGGAUAUAUACACAGGGAGCACAGGAGCAGAGGCCCGGGAGAGCGGACUACACUCAAACACAGACUCAGAGUCCAAUGAUCUCCCUCUUGAUUCUGAGACUGGUUUUCAAAAUGGCAACCCUGAGACUAGAAGGAGCACAGCCGAGUUCUCCACCCUAUACCGGAACAUGCACAGCAUCAAGAGGCCUUCCUACUCGGUGGGCUCCAGCCCCCACGGGAGUGUCCGUAGCCUGACCUCCUUGUUUGAAAAGGUGGGGAUCAAUGAAACUGAUGGGGAGGGGGAUGAGGCAGGGGGGAACAUUCCCCAGCGGGACGCUGUGUCAUCAAGGGUGUCGGCGUUUGAACUGAUCAUCCAGCGCUCCAGCUUAACUCCCACACGCUCCUCCUCCAUGCCAACGCUACCCACUGGCCCCACCCACAACCACGGCGCCGCCAACCUCUUCAUGGUGUCUGCCGUCUCAGCUGAGUUGCUGCUGGUCACUGACCCUGGGCAGACAGAGGGCUGCCCCCUGGAGGACACGGAGGGCAAGGUAGCCCAAGACGAGGCCUCUCUAUCAGGCAGCAAGAUAGUGGAGGCGGUGGCAUCCUCGGAGUACAGUGACACCCUGCGAGCCGAGUCUCUCUCUGGGACUGACGUAGAGAUAGAGCAGCACGGCUCCACAGAGAAAGUACCAAAAGAGAAACCCCCAGUGGUCACGUUCUCCAGAACCUCAAACAGUCCCCCAGCACCAGUCACUCCAUCUGCUCCCCCACACAACUACCACCUCCACAACCACCACCACCACCACCACCACCACCUUAAACCCAGCAGCAAGUGCAAAGGCUCCUGCCCAGCCUCUUAUACCCGGUUCACCACCAUCCGGCGGCAUGAGAGGCAGCAGCAGGCCUCAGCCCAGCAGGACAAACUCUCCACUCAGGAGAAAAUAAAGAACUCCUCCUCUCUCCCCGCGAACCUCUUGCUCAUGGGCCCUGCACCAUUCAUGGUGAAGAGGUCUCUCCAGUCUCACCGGGCCAAAAAUUAUUUCUCAGCCACUAAGGUGAUGGCAGGUCAAAGGUCACAGACCCAUUCUAGUGAGCCCAGGCCCCUCAUCCCACAGCGUCUCUCUUCCUUGGAGGUGCUGGAGAGGCUUGGCACUGGGGAGGGUGCACCGACCGAAAGUGACAACAACCUGACUAAUGGGGGAGGCAUUGACGCCAAUGGGAAUCUUCUGCAGCCGCUGGCAGCUCAUCGCAGAGAUUCAGACUCGUCCCAGGCUUUGACCCAAGGAGACCUUGGUGACGGCCAGGAUGAGGUGGUUAGGAGACGCCAUGGAGACAAAGAGAAAAUCCUGGAAGAGCAGCGGCGGCUGAAGAGGGAGCAGGAGGAGGCUGACACAGCAUCGAGGCGACACACAGGAAUCGUUCCCACCCACCACCAGUUCAUCACUAAUGAACGCUUCGGAGACCUGCUCAACAUCAACAUCAACGACACAGACAAGAGGAAAUCCGGAUCAGAGAGAACUCCAGCCCUGGCUCGGUUUGACUUCAGAGCAGAAACUCUAAAGGAGUUACCAUUUCAAAAGGGAGACAUUGUGUACAUCAUUCGACAGGUGGAUAAUAAUUGGUUCGAAGGGGAGCAUCACGGCAGAGUCGGCAUCUUCCCACGGAGUUAUGUUGAGCUCCUUCCCCCCACGGAGAAGGCCCAGCCAAAGAAGAGUGCCCCAGUGCAGGUGCUGGAGUAUGGAGAGGCCAUAGCCCGUUUCAACUUCACAGGGGACACGGUGGUGGAGAUGUCAUUUAGAAAGGGAGAGAGGAUCAUCCUAAUUCGCAGGGUCGAUGAGAACUGGUACGAGGGCAAGGUCUCCGGUUCCAAUCGCCAGGGUAUCUUCCCCGUCACCUACAUAGAGGUGCACAAACGACCCAGAGUCAGGAAUGGAUUGGAUUAUCCAGACCCGCCCAUUGGCCAAUCACCUCACCGCAGCCUCAAUGCUUCCCCUCAGCUGAACCUUGUCCGUAACAACCGGCUCAUCUCGUCCCCCCUGCCCCUCCCCCGCUCCCCCCGCCGCUCUGUGUCCCCCGAGGUCCACGCCAUCUCCUCUGAGUGGAUCUCCCUGACCAUAGGGGGUGCCGGCCCCCCUGCUGCCCCAACCCCUCCUCUACCCCCACUCCCCUCUGUGUCUUAUCGCUGGGGCGAAUACCUGCCCCCUUCCAUGUCCGCCAGCCCCGUGCCCCCCAUCUGCGGCAGCCCUUACUGCAUCUCCCCAAUGGCCUCCCCUUCUGCCUCCCCCCUGCCCCCACCCUACCCACCCCGCCCUGGCUCAGCCACCCCUUACCUCACCUUCACCCCUCCCCAGGGGGAGGACUUUCUGCUCUCCCCUCCCUCUCCUCGUCUGUCCCGCAGUCUGAGCCCCUGUGGGGGGGUGGGCCUGGAGAGCUGGCUGACUGGGGCCAGUCCCUUGCGCAUCCUGGAGAGGGAUUUGAUGGAGGGGGAGGGGGCAGAGGGAGACAGGGGCACUGGACGCGAAGCCCUGGGCUGCUGGCGAAAUAGCCCUGCAGAGCUGGUGAAGAAUGAGAGUGACUACCAUGGUAGAACCUCCAGGAGCCCUGUCAUGUUGUUUGACAUCCACGACAACAACAUGAAUGCUAACUCAUUUGCGCAACCCCAGUCCCACAGCCCGGAGCCGAGUCGUCUCAGCUGUGGAAUUGUUACCCUACAGUUUCCAGGCUUUGUACUGUUACGUGCCACAGAAUGAGGAUGAGCUGGAGCUGCAGGAGGGAGAUCUUGUCAGCGUAAUGGAGAAGUGUGACGAUGGCUGGUUUGUUGGUACCUCAAAGAGGACCAAACAGUUUGGCACGUUUCCAGGAAACUACGUGAAAGAGGUCAACUUGUAACCUGUCAACAGACAUUUAUAGUGUGAGGAGAACCCAGCUCUAACCCGUGGUUACCAUUCAAGUAUUUGGGAAGGCAUUACUAUUGCGCUUGAUUGUUUCAAUUAGGAUAGUCAUUCAGCCAGGUGAAUAUGUCUGGUGUAAGUGAUCAGUUUGGUGUGAGGUAUGUCGAUGUACAUGAGGCGAAGACAGGAGGAAGCUUUGCUGUUGACUCACUGCCCAAACGUCAGUGCGGUGUAUACGUACUCCAACCAUAUCCUACACAGUACAUGGGCGGAAUUUAUAAUAUCCUAUUCUGACAAUAGAACUUUUAGUUUAAAAAAAAUCCUCCCAAAAUGUCAGCACAUACAGACUACGUUAUAAAAUGAGUUUGCAAAACAUUAUCAACACCAGAUUUUUCCAUGACAUAGACUGACCAGGUGAAUCCAGGUGAAAGCUAUGAUCCCUUAUUGAUGUCACUUGUUAAAUCCACUUCACAUCAGUGUAGAUGAAGGGGAGGAGACAGGUUAAAUAAGCAUUUUUAAUCCUUGAGACAAUUGAGUCAUGGAUUGUGUAUGUGUGCCAUUCAGAGGGUGAAUGGGCAAGACAAAAGAUUUAAGUGCCUUUGAACAGGGUAUGGUAGUAGGUGCCAGGCGGACCGGUUUGUGUCAAGAACUGCAACGCUGCUGGGAUUCUUAAUGCUCAAUCUGUUUCCCGUGUGUUUCACGAAUGGUCUACCACCCAAAGGACAUCCAGCCAACUUAACACAACUGUGGGAGACAUUGGAGUCAAUAUGGGCCAGCAUCCCUGUGGAAGCUUUCAACAUGUCCCAACUCAAUAUUAGGAAGGUGUUCUUACUGUUUUGUACACUCAGUCAGUAUUCUUGUACAGUGUAUGUAGUAGCUGCGGUGUGUCAUUGUGAUUGUGAACUACUAUACAAAGUAUUUUUGAAGCGCAUGAAUGUCUAUCUACAGUAUAUGGGGGGUCAGCAGCAGAGCAGUUCAUGGAUCAAGAGAGUGGAUCUUAUAACUACCAUGAUGGUAUACGAGGGCUCAAAUGUGUUGUUGAUGAGCUAGAGAAAUAGGAGCUGUUAUUCAUCAGCUAUCUUUCAGGACCUUUUUUGGCGAAAGCAUUUUUCAUUGACUUUGAAUGCGGAUACAUACAUCUGAAGGUCGACAUGACAUGCUAAGUCGUCUAGAAGACUCAUGUUUUUCCUAGGAAAACCCAGUAACUAGUAUUGUUAGACAAACCAUGGAGGUAUCAGGCUGUAUGUGAUGGCACAUACUUGGACAGGGUCCAACAAACCAUAUUCCUUGAUUCGAAUUUUGAAAACCCAUUGACCUGACAGUAAACUUCUAAAAAAAAAAAAAAAAAUUUAAGUAUAGAAUUGUGGAAUGGCUUGGUUUCAUUAGCUCAGAAUGCACUGAAAACUAUAAAGCCAUGUUUGUGACAAUGUAGUCAAUGUAGGCUUGUAGUCUUCAUAAAAUAGCCGGGCGUUCUUACCUCAGUAUAGUCCAAAAGCUUCCAAUGCCGUUUUAGUAUUGCCUUUGUUUUCUAACCAAGGUGUGUCCUAUAAUUCGAGCAUGUUCGUGUGCAUGAUAGAAAUCUGGAAAUGCUCAAACACGUUAGCUAAUAUUAGCUCAGCUUUCUGUCAGCUGAAGUGAUUAACACAAUCAGGAAGACUGGUUGUGCUAUGUACAUACCUGAUUAAGACAGAUCGUGCAUGUGUAUGAAGGCGUGUACGUGCAAGCAAGCUUUUAUGCCUAUGUGUCACACCUAUGUGUUACACAUCUCUUUUCAAAAAAAUGAUUUUCUGUCAUCUUGUACAGCAUAUCUGUCCCGUAAAAUUAGAAGUAACAUUAGCUGUCUGAUCUUUGGUGAUUCCUGUGAGGUAGCUUGGUGGCAGCUAUACUGGCUCCAGUGAAACCACAGGACAGGCGUGGUGUGCCACUCUUUUUAAAGCACUUAACUUCCGCCCCGAGGUCAUUUUUGAGCUUUCUCCUCACACUAAUUGUAUACUAAUUCAUUUGAAGUUUAAAAAGGCCUUUUGUGAACUAACACUCGCACUUUACUUUUUUUCGCCCCUUACUAGCUCUGACUUUGCUGAUAGCUACUUUAUUGAGGAAAAAUGUACUUACCAUGACUGUGAUGUGUGGUUGACCCACCUAGCUAUCUUAAGCUGAAUGCACUAAGUGUAUGUCGCUCUGGAUAAGAGUGUCUGCUAAAUGAUUAAAAUGUAAAUGUAACUCUUUGUUUGAGUAACGAUUGAUUUUAAUUUGUGAGCAUUUUACUUUUUACAUUUGACAAAUUAUAUAUCCCAAUAUUGUUGGAUACAGGGGCCUUUUAUACACAGAAGACUAUGUGUAGCAUCAGAGAGUGCUAAGCUAUUUAAGAGCAUUAAACUACAUCAAUGCCAUUAUUAUUUUGAGGCCAGCAGGUACAACCAGAAAAACAUUACUCAUUAUCUUUGAACUGGAUUGCUCCCUCAGUGAAGAUUGCUUUGAAUUCGGAUAUCAACGCAUUGAAACAGUCUUCCUGUGAGGACAGAGGUCCUCAAUCUGAGAGCUACAUCAGAUCACUAUGCCGGUAACAGCCACCAUACGUCAGAAUAUAUCCUGAAAACGUAGCAGAUUGAAAUAAGAAUGUAUUGUGUUGUGGCAGCUCUACUUUCUUCUCUCUUACUCUGUGCGUAUCAAAUUAUUCCUCCUUAUACCUCACUGCUAUGCGUUCUUCGAAGGAAUCCUCAAUGUCAUGCGUGACAGUAGUCUGGGUUCACUAGGCCAAUAGAAUUGAAAUGUGUUUCUCAGACAAAAAUAAGUAUAUCUGUCAUAAGACUAUCAACAUCUAACUAGUAUUAUUACCUUUAUAGUAAUACUUCAUCUACUUAAUGAUGACUUAUGUUAAAUAUCGUUUAAAGCUAUUAAUGCCAUGUUCACAUUGUCAGUUUGCAGUGACUCAAAUCCUAUUUAUUUGCAUUUCCGAUUCAAAUCUUUUCUUUGUCCUGCAGUUUGAACAGCCAAAAACCACAUGGAAUCUUGAUAUUUCUAGCCACCUUUCGAAGGUGGUUUGAAGUCAGAUACAUAUCUGAUUCCUGGCCAUGUAACUUGUGUCUUAAUGGUCGAAUCUGAUUGAUUUGCCCUCAAGUGGUUUAUAGACUGUUAUUUGGCAUAUCUUGUUGCUUGCUAGCUACUUUGUUGACCGUUUGACAAGAACAUGUGGUAACUAACUAGUUAACUUGUUAAUUGUUUACAAACAAAUGAGUGAAUGUUCUAGAAAGCUUAAACAGCUACCUAGCUAGGUAGUUGGCUGCUGUGGCGAGCCCCCCAAAAAUAUUUUGUUUUGAAAGUUGCAUCAUCUUAUCCUUUGAGGCUUUAAACGUGGUCUUACACUGUAAGACCAUGUUUACUUUUGAGCAUUCAAAGUAACUGGGAAACGUCCAUGUCAGGAAUUGUUAGCAACUUAGCUUGCUACAUAGCUUCUGAGUGAUAGGAAGCACGAGCACCACCACCAAUCAGCCUACACCACUGAGCACACACCAUCAUUACUAUGACAACUAGCGUAGCCAUGUCAGCAAAUGACUGCCAUCUGAACACACACACACACACAUCCGAUUUAGUCACUCACUUGUAACAUGCGGUUUGGACAGUCACUAUUCCAAAACGAAUUUGAAAAACAAAACUGAUUUGAGCAUUAAGGCUUUAGUGGCUGCCACCUAUCAUGUUUACCUUGUGAGAUAUUUAAGUACAGUUCUGCCUGUUUACUCAUCUGUCAGUUGUACUUGAAAAGGAAUAGAAGUAUUGAGACAAUGAGACAAUACAACACCCGAACAUUCAACAUCAUUGUUUUUCCCUAUCUUGUUAACUGCCAAUUGCCAACAUUGAUGAGAAUAUAGUCUUGUGUGACAGUUGUUUUAACGAAACCAGUUACAUUGUACUAGGUUGCUGAGUUUGUCUCUACAUCAUUCAUAUGACUAUCAAGAAGUAUUUUGCAGGCAGUAGGAGAACAUAGAUGAGGGUUUCUACUGUAUGGCCAUUCAUGUGUUUGUAAAUUUCAGUAUUUCUCCCCUUGGUUUGCUGUACAUAACUUCCAUAACUUGUUUCUGAAGGAUAAUCCGAGUGGUUGUAUUGUGACUCAGCUGUGAGCUGUUUACCCCAUAGAGAUACAGUAUAACCCAGUGUGUUCUAUUUCAUUCUGGGGUCUCCACCAUGCUAGCACUUAAGCUAUAGCUAUUAUUACCCAUCUCCAACACAGAGACAAUGACAUCCAAAGUCCAAGCAAAGCUUACAGAAUAAGGUCCAGGGACAAUCGAGUGCGGAGAGGUCUGUUCCAUGUCACACUGACUGUAUGAUAGACUUUGGCAACAAGCAAUCACUCUUCUUGUGGUAUCAUAUCAUAGCCUCACAAGUCCGUGUAAAAUGUUGAUGGGAUAAUGUGCUCCGCGAAACAUCGCAGGAUGUAUGAAUGUAUGAUUGUGGAGUACCGUAUAACACUAACAAGGAUCAAUGCUGUCAGCUUGAAUGAACAUGUAUAACAUUAAACAGCCUGGCACAAUAAGAAUUGUAAAUAUGUAUAAUAAAGAAGUAUGGAAUGCAAGCGAUGGGAAAAGUCACAUGAAGCUCUCUGUUGUUCCCGAGGGAUUUUUUGGGGGGGCAAAGCACAGAGUGAAGAGUUAUUGAGCACAGACCGUUUUGAUGCAUAUGAAGCAACGUUGCGCUGCCAUUUGAUGAGGAUCGUAAGGCCCUUAUGUCAGAUGCAAAUUGUGCCUCAUUUUCAUUAGAUUUGAUUGAUUAUCACAGAAAUGUAUCCAUAUGUCAUAUUUAAGGAUAUUACUAUUGUUUUCCCCGUUUGUGUUUUUUUUAGUAUUUGUGAUGGGAGAAGACAUGUACUAAAGAACAUGAUAGCUACUGGACUAAAGUGGGACACAACGCUUCAAAUAAAUUAUUAAUCAUCAUAACUAUGUGUUCAUUAGUUUUCCCGAGACGCUCAACCUGCAACAGGUUUUGUUUGUUUGCUUAUUUUUUUUGCGGUGCUGUUACCAUGUCAAUAUUAAAAUGAAGACAACACUAUUUGCUGCUGUGAUAUUAUUAUUGAUAUUUCGGUAUUAUGCAAUAUUUAAUAAACUAUAUAAAGCAUC